rnacentral:lncRNA from 1 species
UUUUUUUUUUUUUUUUUCUUAUCUUUUUUUUAUUACGUGUUUUUUUUGAAAAUAAACAUGCUAUGAUGCAAAUGAUGCAGACAAGACUGGUUGGCUGUGUCUCUCAGAACACAGGAUCAAAGCUUCGGCUUGAACUCGGAACCACAAAUUCAUCUGAAACCCAAAGUCAUCUGAGACCCCAAAAUUCUGAACCAAUAGUCACCAACAGGAUCGCAAGUCACCAACAAGUCACCAACGAGUCACCAACUGUA